AGAGACGCCAUUUGUUGUCUCACUUGUCUGCAUAUUAUACAACAUUUUCCUUCGUACAACAAACCCAAAAAAUGUCUUCAGACAAAAAUUACACGCCCACAACGAACUCCAAAGGCGAAUUCGUUCGGAAAGAUUCACAAUUUCGUGACCGCAUCACUGCAGAUGGUUCGAGCGGAUUCAAAGCGGAAGCUAAUCGUUAUCAUCUAUAUGUGAGUCUCGCUUGUCCAUGGGCUCACAGAACUUUGAUAGUUCGCAAGCUGAAAGGCCUUGAGAAAGUCGUAAGUUUAAACGUUGUGGAUUGGAUUUUGGGGAAGGAAGGCUGGAAAUUCGACCCAGGUAUUUAGAAGUGAAAAAUGUAAACACAACUUUAUAUUGAUGACUGAUUCAGUAUUCACUAUUCCAAAACCGAAAGGGUUAUAGGAUUUAUAUAUUGAGAGAAUAAGAGUCACAGUAAGGAACGGUUAGGCUGAGUCACUGAGUGGCCUGCUACCAAGUGAUUUCAUGGGCUAGUUAUGGAAAUAUUUUCUCUGGAGCAGAAUAUGUUUAUAUACUUGGGAGAUUACUUCUCGAUCUACAUCCGAUCAUACAGCUUCUACAUGGCAUGACCUCUGAAUUUUUGUUGACCUCUGAAUUUUCUUGCCAACACUUUUUGUUGCUCACCAAUUGCAUUGGCAAGAUUUGUUUUUUGCUUUGCUUCACGCAAACAAAUUUGUCUGGUGGAAAAUGAUAUACAUCAUAAAAUACUCAAUUAACCAGCUUACCUAGUUCAUUGGCAUUGCAAAUAACCCUGACCUCCUGCAAAUUACACUCCAAUAGCUUUUCAACCUUUAUACACUUAGGAAAGCCAGGGGCAACACCAGACACUGUGAACAACUUUGGUCACCUGAGCGAGGUCUAUGCCCUUUCUGAUCCGGAGUACGAUGGUCGCUGGACCGUACCAGUUCUAUUUGAUAAAGUCCAGAAGAAGAUUGUCUGUAAUGAUUCUGCUGAAAUCAUACGCAUGUUGACGCCAGAAUUUAACGAAUUUUGUAAAACGGUGCAACAGAGGGAAUUAGACCUUUACCCUGAGGAACUGCGCAAAGAAAUCGAUGAGAUGAAUGAUUGGAUUUAUCCGUAAGUAUGAUCAUGUGCAAGAGGGGGGCGGCUACCCUAUAAGAGACACUCUAAUUCUGUCUUUGGUCUACUAAUUUGGAAAUCUGGUUAUUUCAGAGAAGAGUUUACUGAACAUGGUUCAAAUGAUCUAUUCUUUUCUAUGCUGAAGACUUGCAAUUUUUUUUGCCAAAUGGAAGUGUGAGAUGUUGACCACCACCAGUCCACCACCAUUAUCAUCACCAUUAUCAUGAUCACUACAUGAUCACCACCACUAUCACCAUCACCAUCAUGAUCAUCUCCAGCCUCCAGGGUCCACCAUCAUCAUCACUAUCAUCAUCACCAACAUCAUUACUAUUACCAGCACCAACAUCAUCACCAUCAUUACCAUCAUCAACAUCAUCAUCAUCACCACCACCAUCAUCACUAUCAUCAACAUAUCAUCAUCACCACCACCAUCAUCAUCAACAUGUCAUCAUCACCACCACCAUCAUCAUCAACAUCAUCAUCACCACCACCAUCAUCAUCAACAUAUCAUCAUCACCACCACCAUCAUCACCAUCACCAACAUCAUCACCACCACCAUCAUCAUCAUCACCACCAUCAUCAUCAACAUAUCAUCAUCACCACCACCAUCAUCACCAUCACCAACAUCAUCAUCAUCACCACCACCAUCAUCAACAUAUCAUCAUCACCACCACCAUCAUCACUAUCAUCAACAUAUCAUCAUCACCACCACCAUCAUUACCAUCACCACCACCUUCAUCAUCA
rnacentral:lncRNA from 1 species